rnacentral:rRNA from 1 species
AUAUGACAGAAUUAGCGGUGUUUAUUCUAAUUAGAGGAACUUGUUUUGUAAUCGACAGUCCACGUUAACCUUUCUUAAUUUUGUAGAUAUUAUGUAUACCGACGACGUCAGAAUAUUUUUGAAGAGAGCUUAAUUUUCUUAGUAUUAUUAAGAUAUGAACGUCAGAUCAAGGUGCGGUUAUAAUUAAGUAAUGAUGAGUUACAAUAAAAAUAUUUAUAUGAAUUAAAUUAUUAAAAUUAUUUAUGAAGGUGGAUUUGAUUGUAAUGUGGAAAUAGAUUUUCCAUACGAAUUUUUAGCUCUAAAA